UACGAAGGGGGCUAGCGUUGCUCGGAAUCACUGGGCGUAAAGGGCGCGUAGGCGGCCAUUCAAGUCAGGGGUGAAAGCCUGUGGCUCAACCACAGAAUUGCCUUUGAUACUGUUUGGCUAGAGACCGGAAGAGGUAAGUGGAACUGCGAGUGUAGAGGUGAAAUUCGUAGAUAUUCGCAAGAACACCAGUGGCGAAGGCGGCUUACUGGUCCGGUUCUGACGCUGAGGUGCGAAAGCGUGGGGAGCAAACAGGG
rnacentral:rRNA from 1 species